UUGCUGGAGACGACACGAACAAGUAUUAGUGAGAACAGAGUUGCAGCAGAGGAAACGGAGCUCUAUCGCAGCAGAUGAUCACAUAAUACUAGCACCCUGAAACUGAAGCACCAAAAUGGAACUGGUUACUUGUAAGGUUCUGUCAGAGUAAACUGGACCAACAACCAUCAGCUCAGCAGUUCUCACCCUGAUGUAAAAGUCUCCGUUAUCGUCACCAGAGCGAAUGCGGAAGGUGUUGUAAGCCCCCGCCGAGACGCUGGUGGCCUGAAUCUGGAAGAUGUCGGAGGGGACGGAACGCUCCGAGGUGAUGCUCAUGUAGCGGUGGACGAUGGAGAAGGGCAGAUCUCGACAGGCCGGCUUGUUGACGGGACAUACACAGCGGCUGGAUGCACACAAAGACAAGGAGACAGAGUGAGGAAAAUCAGAGCAUUGUACUGUCUCAUAGUGAUGUUUGGUGCAGGAAACCAUCAACAGCAGUUCAUAACUCAGCCAGCAGGUGGAGUAGUAUGACUGAGAGGAGCCUUCUAAAAUCUAAACGCUUAUUGAACGGUAGCCAUCUUCCCUCAUGUUGGUCUAAAACACAUUUUAUACCACCAAAUCAUCUGGGACAUGUCAAUAGCGACCCACACCUGUUACCAAGCCAGCACUUGUUCACACAGCUGUAAUAGUUUUCUUACUGCACCGGAGCACGUUCAAAAGAAAGUUUUGCAAAGUUGGAUUCAUAUGUGGAAAAAGUAAUUGGGGCAAUCUUGCAGUCUGAGCCACACUCAGCACAGGGGCUGAUUAUAUUCUGCGCUGAUGGCCAACACAUAUUUGCGUAAUUGGGAAAAGGUGUGUCCAAGUGUGUGUUUGUGGUUGAAGCUUUCACGAGGUGUCACUCACUUCUCAGAGACUUGUACGUAGGGGUCUUGGCAGCGGUUGUUGUCCACACACUGGUAUCGUCCGUGGAUAUUCACACAGGUCUGCGCCUCCGUGCACUGGUGUUUGCCGGUUUCACAUUCGUUUAUAUCUGCAGAGGACAAGCAGCUCGAGAUGUUUGACUGAACACAAUAAGACGGAGCUGCUGUCUAAGAAUGAUCCGAUUCAGUGCGGCAUUUGUGACUCUGGGAGCAAAGAGGGGAAGGUGUUCUUACCCUGGCACAUUCUGGUGCCCAGCAGCUGGUAUCCUUCUGGGCACACGCAGGAGAACUUCCCUGGUUCGUUGACACACUGGAACUGGCACAGGUAGCUGGAGUAGCUGCACUCAUCGAUGUCUGAGAAGUUGUAAGUUCAGGGUAUGUUAACUGUCUGAGAGCAAAGAGGAGGAGAAAGCAGCAGGAGAGUGUGUACUAUCACACUUCUUACCGUUACAAGCGAAGCCGUCGGGCCCGAGCUCGUAGCCCUGAUCACAGCGACAAAGGAAGGUGCCGUAAGUGUUGUAGCACCUCUGAGAGCAGGGGGCACCCAUCUCACAUUCAUUCACAUCUGAAAGCAGGAAGGGUAGAUUUCACAGAACAUCGUAGUUAUAAACUUUAAAUGCUUCAUAAGUGACCACAGAGUCCAAAAAGCUUUUAUAGGUUCUGGAUCAAAUAUUAAAACUGAAGGCAGAAAUCCGAAUGAUAGCCCCAAUGAAUGUAAAGUCUGUGAAAACAUAUUUUCUCAAUCAUCUACGAGUGAAGAGGUCCAACAUGAACACAAUUUUCUGCCAAAGCUGAAACAGUUUUGUUACACUUAUUUAAAUUAAGAUGAGCUUUGCUGAAAAAGGUGACGUCACAAACUGCACAUCUGUGCACAAAUUAGGCUUCAAUUAAAUCACAUCAAAUCAAACCAAUAUGUGCUUGAAGCAGAUGAGGUUUUCAUUGUUAAACCCUGAAAUAAAUAAUAACAAUAAUAAUAAAUAACUCUCAGCUUUAAUCAUUACCUGUUUCAACAUGAAUUGUUAUUCUUACACAGUAACAUUUAAUACGUUUUCAGGGUCUUAAUGUUUGUCAGGUGUUUGAUAAAAGAGAGAUCUUCGUAAGAGCAAACAGUGCAGUUCAUCUGUGUGAGCAGCUGUUGUAUUUAUGCUAAAUUUGGACGUAGUCUGACUUUAAAUGACUAUUUCUACUUAUAUCCACAACAUUUUAGAGGGAAAUAUUGUGCCUAGUGUAGUACAGAAUCUUGUAAACCAUAUUUAUUUUACAUUUGCAGUUAACUACAGUGUACAACAUCGUUACGAUUUCACAACCGAAAUAUAUAAUCAGCGGAAACAAAGUCAUUUGACAUAAAAGUGAUCAGCAAUAAUCUUGAUAUUAAAUGAAAUUUAAUGAAAAGUGAUUUUUCAAGCAAAAAUUCAAUACAGUUUCUCCAGUUUCUGACAUGAAGAUCAUUAUAACCUCGAGAUAAUUGAUCAUUUAAAGAAUAAACUCAUAAAUAGAUUACACUGUUUGUUGCAUCCCUAGUUAAGUCUAUAAAACUAGCAUAUAAAAGAAUGAUAGGGCAGAGUUAUAUCUGUAUACAAAACACACAAUUGUCCUUUAUAUCUCAUUAACUGGUCCACAGAAAUGUGUCUGACGUGAUUAUUUUGAUUAUACAUCAGCAAUAAUAAUACUAUUAUGUAACCUGUAACAGCAUGACUGAUGGGCCAUUUGUUUCACUUCUGAUAUUUUAUGUACAUUUUGCAGUUAAUACUUUUAUGUAAGCAAGAUUAUGAAUGCAGUAUGUUUAUUCGUAGUGGACUUUUACACUGUUGUACUGUUACAUUUAUUAAGCAAAUGCUCUUAAAACUCACCAAUGCAGGAUCGGUUGUUUCCUGCCAGCUGGAAACCAGGUUCACACUGACAGGAGAAGGAACCAGGGACGUUGACACAGCGAUGCUGGCAGUACCUGUACCUGCACUCAUCGAUGUCUGACGGCCAGAAGAAGAGUCAGAGGAAGGACAUUCACAUUCCUACAGCCAGAGCCAAGAAGCAAACUACACAGCCACGUUAUCUUGGCUCUUCUAAGAAGCCAAGUGCAGCUGGGAGAGCGGAGCAGUGAGCGGAGCAGCGGUGCAGCUGUGACGUGUAUGGCCUGUAGCAGAAAAGUGGAUAAUGGAGCUCCUCCAUCCACAGACCUCUCCUGGUGAAGGCUACGAUCUGCACUUACCCUUGUCAGACAGCCUGUGCAAACCAAAAACAUCCAAGACCCUGUUCCCUCG